AGGAUCUGUAAUGUGAGUGGAACACUUAUGGCCCUGACUGAAGACUAGCAGUUAUGCUGUAGCUGUUGGUUUCAAGCAGAGGCCUACACGAAUGGCUUCCUGUGGUUUGUUGGC
rnacentral:miRNA from 1 species